CCUUCCAGAUAGAUUGAGGCCAUCUGAAUUUAGAGUCCCUGCUCAUCCUUGGAUACGGAUUUUUCUUUGAAAGAUUGCCUGAGACUGGCUCCCUACUCGGACUUUACUUUGGGAGCGAGGCAUGGAGGUUCUGAUCUUGUGCCUGAUUUAUGGGAUGGAGGAUGAGUCUAUGGAGCAUGCUGUCCUACACUACUCUAGGACGGGGAUCAUUUGGAGACGGAUGGACGAUUACCCUUGAGAGAGGAGUCCUGGCCUUUGGUUGGCAUCCUUCCUAAGUUCGAUCCGUCAGAGUAUU
rnacentral:lncRNA from 1 species